rnacentral:tRNA from 1 species
GGGUGCUUAGCUCAGCUGGGAGAGCAUCGCCCUUACAAGGGCGGAGGGUCGGGGGUUCGACACCCUCAGCACCCACCA